GUUUGUGGUGUAAUAUGUGUGGCUAGGGGCUGUAGAGAGUGUGUGUAUAGGGGGCAUAGUGUUAUAGGGGAUGUAGCGAGUGUGUGCAUACGGGCUGUAGUGUGUGUGUGUAUAGGUGACGUAGUGUGUGUAGGGGUUGUAGAGAGGGUGUGUUUAGAGAAUGUUGUAUGUGUUUGCUGACAAGGAAUGUAGUGUGUGUGUAGGUGGUGCAGUGUGUGUGUAGGAGAUCUAGUGUGUAAAGGACCCAGAGUGUGUAUAGGAGAUUGUGUGUGUGUGUG